CCUUAAGUGUGGAUAGAAACAAGGAGAACAUGAUUAUGCACCAGCCACACCAGAUCCCAUUGCACCAGACUACCUUCUGAAGUUUAGAAUGAUUAUGGAUUUUU